rnacentral:rRNA from 1 species
CCUACGGGAGGCAGCAGUAGGGAAUCUUCCACAAUGGGCGAAAGCCUGAUGGAGCAACGCCGCGUGGGUGAAGAAGGUCUUCGGAUCGUAAAACCCUGUUGUUCGAGAAGAAAGUGCGUGAGAGUAACUGUUCACGUUUCGACGGUAUCUAACCAGACAGCUACGGCUAACUACGUGCCAGCAGCGGCGGUAAAACGUAGGUGGUAACCGUUAUCUGGAUUUAUUGGGCGUAAGGGGAACGCUGGCGGUCUUUUACGUCUGAUGUGAACGCCUUCGGCUUAACGGGAGUAGUGCAUUGGAAACUGGGUGACUGGAAUGUAGAAGAGGAGAGAGGAACGCCAUGUGUAGCGGUGAAAUGCGUAGAUAUAUGAAAGAACACCAGUGGCGAAGGCGGCUCUCUGGUCUGUAACUGACGCUGAGGUUCGAAAGCGUGGGUAGCAAACAGGAUUAGAUACCCUAGUAGUC